CUCCUUUCUUCUUCUCAUCAGAGAUGUUAAAAAGUGAAUGUGACACCUACUCCUCCACAGCUCUGGCUAUUCAAGCACCUUUCUUAUAGUGAUGAAGGGAGUACAUCAUCAGGGCAAGGUGUAUGUGGAUGGUGUUGAACUUCUGCUGUGUUUUACUGUGAUUUAGCGUCAGCACAUACAGCACUGGAAAUACUACUGCUUGUGGCACACAGCCCUGCCCUCUGCUUUUCCUUUCUCCAGUAAGGACUUGCUGCUCCUCCUGCUGUUCAGCCAUCACCCGUUGAAUUCUAAGCCAAGCAACCUCAAAGGGUUAAUUGUCUUACUUCACUAUUCAAAAAAUACCAUGGCUGUUAAGCACGUAACUCAUGGGUUCUACCAACUCUUCUGCAAAAAUACAAGCAGGUAAACCACCAGAAAGCAGCUUUGUACCACUGAAAAGAAGCUUCACCCAGACCCUCCUGCUGCCUCUGACCCUUCAGUGCCAGUGGAGCCAGCUCCAUGUCCUCCAUCGUCCACAGCCCGCCCACCACCACCUCCUCCAGGGAUUUCUCUGCAGGACUUCUAAAUCAACAGAGGACUGCAAAGCCUUGGAGAGAGGGUUCUCAUCUUUCCCUUUACUGAGUGCUAUGCUAUACCCUGGCCAGGCUGUGCUCUGCGAAGCUCCUGGACAAGCUCUUCCCAGCAGGAGCAGCACCAAGUGCAGAUAGAAAACACUUCUGAAGUCGUGCAUCCCAUCUGAUGUUUAAAUGCAAAGAACCUAGGAAGGAUAGUCCUGGAUUACUGCUGCUUACAAGGAAGUGUACUUCUACGGAGGUCCAAAAGCCCUUCUGUACUCGGAAGCUGGGAUGGUUUGGCUUUGCUCUCCUUUAGCACUGAUGCAGCUUCAUUACCACCCAACAGGAAGUGAUGGUUACACUGCUGUCAAACUGGUGGAAAUAACAGGAUUAUCUUUGACUAACCAUGGGGUUUCCCACCUCAGGAACUGGAACAUCCUGAAAUCAUUCUGCUCCCAGACACGUCUUCUUUUUUUCCGUUUAGAUUAAAUAAUAUAUUUAGGGCCUCUGAAUGGCCUUAUGGUCUUCUGAGUGUGAAGCCUGCAAAAACAAGUGGGAAGGAAAAAGGCAGGUGGAGGAAAGGCUCAGCGAGAAGGCAAAGCUCUACCAGCCAAACCCAACUUCUCUUCAACUUACACAAAGGUAUUUGUCCAUCAAGAGAAAGGUGGGACCCUGGAAAGUCAUUCUAACCAACAUUUUGAAAGUCUAUAAAUUCUGGAGGGACCAGGAAGAGUGCAAACAUUUUGUAAUUAGGGGCAAAACCCUGAGUGCUCCUACAAGUGCACUACAAGAGCACUACAAGUACUGAUAGUGAAGCCUCACUUCACUAUCAGUCCUUGGGGCUCCCUGCCUCUCCCAGCCCCCCCAGCCCAUGUGCGGGAUGCAUUGUGGCUCCCCCAUCUUCUCAACAUAUUUUGCUAUACUGAGCCUUUGUUAAUAUCACUUUUUGUUGA
ensembl:lncRNA